rnacentral:misc_RNA from 1 species
UUAACUAUUAUAUAGUACUCAGACGACAUGUAUAAACAGAGUUUAGGGUCCUCUGGCGAGCGCUCACCAGCGUGAAGCCGGUGGCCGAAGCGGCUCGCCAAAGCAACAAAGGUAUAGUUAACAUAGGGUUGGAGAGUCACCCUUGCGGGCGAAUUUCUCUGUAAUGAUCCCUCCGCAGGUUCACCUACGGAGA